rnacentral:misc_RNA from 1 species
AACGCACGAGACCUGCGGACCUGCGGAGGGAUCAUUAUUGAAUAUGCCUUGACAGGUUGUCGCUGGCCUUUUGAGGCAUGUGCACGCCUGUCUUGACUCUAUUCAUCCACCUGUGCACCAAUUGUAGUCUUUCACUAUCUCUGAGUUAAGAAAUGCAGGCUUUUGUUCAGUUGAGACACACUGGAUUUGAGAAUUGCCUCCUAGCUUUUCUCUGUCUUAGUCUUGCAGAAUUAUUACUCA